UGGGCUUGACAUCCCGGCGACCGGUACAGAGAUGUACCUUUCCCUUCGGGGACGCCGGUGACAGGUGGUGCAUGGUUGUCGUCAGCUCGUGUCGUGAGAUGUUGGGUUAAGUCCCGCAACGAGCGCAACCCUUAUUGUUAGUUGCUACGCAAGAGCACUCUAACGAGACUGCCGUUGACAAAACGGAGGAAGGCGGGGACGACGUCAAAUCAUCAUGCCCCUUAUGUCCAGGGCGACACACGUACUACAAUGGCGGUCAACAAAGAGAGGCAAAACCGCGAGGUGGAGCGAAUCUCAAAAAGCCGUCCCAGUUCGGAUUGCAGGCUGCAACCCGCCUGCAUGAAGUUGGAAUCGCUAGUAAUCGCGGAUCAGCAUGCCGCGGUGAAUACGUUCCCGGGCC
rnacentral:rRNA from 1 species